CGAGGACUUCCCAUAUCCCCGGAUGGAAACUCCCCCAGUUCUCUCCCUUGGCAAUUGAAUGGUCAAGGGGAACCGGACUUUGUAAGAAUUGGGAAUCUAAAUUAGUGCAAUUUAGACCUUUGUGCGUGAAGUGCUGCAGGGAAUUCCAGUCAGCAAAGGAGACGCUGAGGGGAUCUCCCAGAGUGGAUGGUGUUUCCUUACUGCUUAUAAGAUAAUGUGUCAAGAUAGGGGCUGGUUGCAUCCUAUGAAAUGCAGGGAAAUAAUUCAUUUUACCAAAGGCUAAGCCUAAAAUACUAGAAUUUGCAACCCCUACCACUAAAAAUGAGGCUCAGAAAUUUAUUGGCUUGUUUGGAUUCUGGAGACAUCAUAUUCCCCACUUGGGUAACAUGUUACAACCUCUGCAUGCAGCCACCAGAAAACGCUAUGACUUUGGGGAGAGAAAGAGAUCAUGGCUUCCGAACAAGAUAAACAAGCAGUGCAACUGGCCCUGGAUCUAUGACCCAUUUGGGAUGGUCCCGUAGAACUGCAAGUAACUGUCCUAGAUCAACAUGCUAAUUGGAGCCUUAGGCAGAAACAAGAUGGGAAGAGGUACAUUUCUGGUUUUGGACCCAGAAACUGCCAGAGGCCAGCAAAGCUUAUAACCCUUUCGAGGAGCAAUUGUUAGCUUGCUAUUGGGCUUUGCUGGAAACGAAACACCUCUGCUUCAACCAUGAUGUCUUUAUGAGGCUUGAAAUUCCUAUUAUGACUUGGGUCAUGAGUUCCCCCGAAACUCACCAGAUAGGGCACGCCAAGGGGGAGAACUGGGGGAGUUUCCAUUCCGGGAUUUGGGACGUCCCCAAGUUUCCAGCCUUGGGCUCCAGAGUCAGACACCGCACUCUCCAGGCUGGAAGAUUCUCCACCAGGCCAGGAAGCAACAGCAUGGGUUCCAGAGUGGGACACCCGCACUCACCAGACUAUGAAGGACUCACCACCAGACCAAGAAGCAACAGCCUGAGCUCCAGAGUCAGACACCACCCUCAUCAGACUGUGGAGGAUUCACCACCAGACAGGGAAGCAACAGCCUGGGCUCCAGAGUUGGCCACUCGUCCGUGCACAGACGAGGAGAGGUCUCAUGAAGCUUCGGUGCAGUCUGGGACCACAGCUCUUUAGUAACGAGUUGUUUGGCAUAAAGCCCAGUCACAGGGCUCUUCAGGACAGGGCUUAAGGAACACAAAAAGGGCCUGAGGGGCGGGACCUAAAGCAUUAUCCAAUCAGAGACGCUGGGCUGGAAACCGUCCAAUCAGGCACGCAGCUGGAGCGACGAGGACGGCUUUCCGCUUUUGGCGCGGCCUUUGUCUCUAGCUGCAGCCGGCGUUUCAGGUCUCGUCUUCACUGGUCUGUGUCCUAUUCUCCUGGAGGCCCAGCCUCUGUGGCCCUGUGACCUGCAGGUAUUGGGAGAUCCACAGCUAAAACCCCAGGACACCCUGGAAGCAUAGAAAUGUCUCCCUCUGAUGCCGAGCCGAAGCUGGACUGUACUGCUGCCAUCUCGGCUCACUGCAACCUCCCUGCCUGAUUCUCCUGCCUCAGCCUGCCGAGUGCCUGCGAUUGCAGGUGCGCGCCGCCACGCCUGACUGGUUUUCGUACUUUUUUGGUGGAGACGGGGUUUCGCUGUGUUGGCCGGGCUGGUCUCCAGCUCCUAACCGCGAGUGAUCCGCCAGCCUCGGCCUCCUGAGGUGCCGGGAUUGCAGACGGAGUCUCGUUCACUCAGUGCUCAAUGUUGCCCAGGCUGGAGUGCAGUGGCGUGAUCUCAGCUGGCUACAACCUCCACCUCCCAGCCGCCUGCCUUGGCCUCCCAAAGUACCGAGAUUGCAGCCUCUGCCCGGCCGCCACCCCGUCUGGGAAGUGAGGAGCGUCUCUGCCUGGCCGCCCAUCGUCUGGGAUGUGAGGGGCCCCUCUGCCUGGCUGCCCAGUCUGAAAGUGAGGAGGGUCUCUGCCCGGCCGCCAUCCCAUCUAGGAAGUGACGAGCACCUCUUCCCAGCCACCAUCCCAUCUAGGAAGCAAGGAGCGUCUCUGCCCGGCCGCCCAUCGUAUGAGAUGUGGGGAGCGCCUCUGCCCCGCUGCCCCGUCUGGGAUAUGAGGAGCGCCUCUGCCCAGCCGCGACCCCGUCUGGGAGGUGAGGAGCGUCUCUGCCUGGCCGCCCCAUCUGAGAGGUGAGGAGACCCUCUGCCUGGCAGCCGCCCCAUCUGGGAAGUGAGUAGCAUCUCCGCCCGGCAGCCACCCCGUCCG
rnacentral:lncRNA from 10 species